rnacentral:tRNA from 1 species
AUCCCUGUAGAGUAAUGGGUAGCGCGUUGGACUUCUAAUUCAAAGGUCAUGGAUUCGAAUCCCACCUGGGAUG